rnacentral:rRNA from 1 species
AGUGAACGCUGGCGGUAGGCCUAACACAUGCAAGUCGAACGGCAGCACAGUAAGGGCUUGCUCUUACGGGUGGCGAGUGGCGGACGGGUGAGGAAUACAUCGGAAUCUACUUUUUCGUGGGGGAUAACGUAGGGAAACUUACGCUAAUACCGCAUACGACCUACGGGUGAAAGCAGGGGAUCUUCGGACCUUGCGCGAUUGAAUGAGCCGAUGUCGGAUUAGCUAGUUGGCGGGGUAAAGGCCCACCAAGGCGACGAUCCGUAGCUGGUCUGAGAGGAUGAUCAGCCACACUGGAACUGAGACACGGUCCAGACUCCUACGGGAGGCAGCAGUGGGGAAUAUUGGACAAUGGGCGCAAGCCUGAUCCAGCCAUACCGCGUGGGUGAAGAAGGCCUUCGGGUUGUAAAGCCCUUUUGUUGGAAAAGAAAAGCAGCAGGUUAAUACCCCGCUGUUCUGACGGUACCCAAAGAAUAAGCACCGGCUAACUUCGUG